ACACGACUCUCGGCAAUGGAUAUCUCGGCUCUCGCAUCGAUGAAGAGCGCAGCGAAAUGCGAUAUGUGGUGCGAAUUGCAGAAUCCCGCGAACCAUCGAGUCUUUGAACGCAAGUUGCGCCCGAGGCCAACCGGCUAAGGGCACGUCCGCCUGGGCGUCAAGC
rnacentral:rRNA from 1 species